rnacentral:rRNA from 1 species
UACGGGGGGGGCAAGCGUUGUUCGGAAUUACUGGGCGUAAAGGGCUCGUAGGCGGCCAACUAAGUCGGAUGUGAAAUCCCCAGGCUCAACUUGGGAACUGCAUCCGAUACUGGAUGGCUUGAAUUCGGGAGAGGAAUGCAGAAUUCCAGGUGUAGCGGUGAAAUGCGUAGAUAUCUAGAGGAACACCGGUGGCGAAGGCGGCAUUCUGGACCGAUAUUGACGCUGAGGAGCGAAAGCCAGGGGAGCAAACGGG